AAAAAGGCAUGUUGUUUGUGUUUUUUUCAAAUGUUGUAUUGUCCAAAAUCAAAUAGGAAAAUAAUUAAUGCAAUUUGAUAGUUUUUGUUUAUUUCAUGGAGUUAUUUUCAUUUUUAUUUUAUUGAUUUUUUUUUCUUCUUUUACUCUUUUUUUUUUCAAAUUUUGAAUUAGUAUUAUGCUAUAUUAUUAUGAGUUAUCCCUACUUCUAGAUCUUCUUUUAGUUAAUACAUUGUAUUGUAAAGUUUUUUUACAUGUUCAUUAAUGGUACUUUAUUGGGAUUUAAUAUCUUUUAGCUUAUAAAUGUAGGAUAAAUUUGUAAAGGUUAAGAAAAAU
rnacentral:lncRNA from 1 species